rnacentral:rRNA from 1 species
AACGUAGGAGGCGAGCGUUAUCCGGAUUUACUGGGUGUAAAGCGCGUGCAGGCGGCGGCGCAAGUCGUGUGUGAAAGCUCCCGGCUCAACCGGGAGAGGACGGACGAGACUGAGCUGCUAGAGGCAGGUAGAGGUGUGUGGAAUUCCGGGUGUAGUGGUGAAAUGCGUAGAGAUCCGGAGGAACACCAGUGGCGAAGGCGGCACACUAGGCCUGGCCUGACGCUCAGACGCGAAAGCAUGGGGAGCGAACGGGAUUAGAAACCCCGGUAGUCCAUGCUGUAAACGAUGCGGACUAGGUGUUGCGGGUUGAAUCCCCUGCAGUGCCGAAGCGAACGUGAUAAGUCCGCCACCUGGGGAGUACGGCCGCAAGGUUAAA